CAGAGUUGCAAAACUCCUAAACCAUUGUGAACGUCACCUAACCGUUGCUUCGGCGGGGGGCCCCUCACAGGGCUGCGCCUGACCGACCCUCUUGGGGGCCGGGCAGCCCGCCGGAGGCAUAUAAACUCUCGGUAUCUUAUGGCAUCUCUGAGUAGCUUAUAUAAUAAGUCA
rnacentral:misc_RNA from 1 species